rnacentral:misc_RNA from 1 species
AAGAGACGUUGCCCUUCGGGGUAUACCUCCCACCCUUUGUUUAUUAUACCUUUGUUGCUUUGGCAGGCCCGUCCUCGGACCACCGGCUUCUGCUGGUCAGUGCCCGCCAGAGGACCUAAAACUCUGUUUGUUAAUAUUGUCUGAGUACUAUAUAAUAGCUA